GUCCCUAUAGCUCAAUGGACAGAGCUGCGCUCUUCUAAGGCGUAGAUCGAGGUUCGACUCCUCGUGGGGACA
rnacentral:tRNA from 1 species